rnacentral:SRP_RNA from 1 species
UGCCGGUCCUCUCGCAACGAGAAGCCGUGAACCUGGUCAGGCCCGGAAGGGAGCAGCCACAGCGGUGGAUUCGUGUGCCGGGAUGUUGGCUGGUGGGG